rnacentral:pre_miRNA from 1 species
CUACUACUUCCUCCGUCCGAAAAUACUUGUCAUUGAAAUGGAUGUAUCUAGAUAUAUUUUAGUUCUAGACACAUCCAUUUUGAUGACAAGUAAUUCCGGACGGAGGGAGUAUUAU